CUGAAAGGAUGGAAACCAAAGCUGGCAUCUGCAUGAUAUGAACUCAUAGUGUAAGAGAAGCCUCACUCUCUCACAACUUUAACAACUCUGCCAAGUCACCCUCUUAUAACGUGUACAAGUGGAGUAUAAAGUACUAUUAAAGGGAGAUAACUCCAAAUGAAUUUAUUAAGAAAUCUGUUUCUUGAUUAAGUUGGAUAUCUCAAAAGUUGAAUACUUGAAUGCAGAAUGUUAAGUGUUUAGUCGCAACGGAACAGGAAAACAUGUUAUGGAACUGUUAAAGAUAAAUAAGCAUGCAUGUGGGUUUCUUUUUAAAUUGGUCAGGAUGCGUUAUAUCGGUUGUCCAGUCAUGUAUUGUUCAAGUUUAGGUCCAAAAGGGCCUCCGCCGAUCAAGCUUGAUCUUGUAUCUGCACCUAUAAUGUUGGGGUAGAAGGCCAGCAGUUUACCCGUGUAUACAGAUCUCCCUUCUCCAAGACACCAGUGGAGGUGAAGCAUUAAGUAAACUAAAAUACUGGAAAUAUCACUAUAAGAAGAAUUUAGGAGAACAAAACGAAUUCGAUUGGCUGCUAAAUUCAGAAACGGUUUCAAACUCUGUAUUAUAUCAACUUUCUAUUGUCC